CCGCCGUGUCAGAUCUACUGGA
rnacentral:miRNA from 1 species